GUGCUCGAUUCAACAGCACAUACACUAAAAUUGGAACGAUAAGAGAAGUUAGCAUGGCCCCUGUGCAAGGGUGACUGACACGCAAAUUCGUGAAGUGUUGCCAGGCAGU
rnacentral:snRNA from 1 species